rnacentral:rRNA from 1 species
UACGGAGGGGGCUAGCGUUGCUCGGAAUGACUGGGCGUAAAGCGUGCGCAGGCGGUGAUGUAAGACAGGUGUGAAACUCCCGGGGCUCAACCUCGGAACUGCAUUUGUGACUGCAUCGCUGGAGUGCGGCAGAGGGGGAUGGAAUUCCGCGUGUAGCAGUGAAAUGCGUAGAUAUGCGGAGGACACCGAUGGCGAAGGCAUCCCCGUGGGCCUG